UCUUUCAAGUUUAUCAAUUUCAUUUUCCUUUCUCUUUCUCUCUCUUCCAUUUCAUUUUCUCUCUUACCUAAUUUUUGAUAUUUCUUCUCAAAUUUAUUUUCCUAAUUUCCUUCUCCUCCCAUCACCACCGCCACUGCCAACGAUUCAGAUCUGGAAAAGGUUCUGAAAUAACAAAAAACUGAGUUAUUUGAGCAGUUUUUCUCUCAGAUCUGAGUUUGUUUGUUGCAGAAGAUUACAAGAUUCUGGGAUGAAAUGUUGUAACUUGUAAGAAUGAGUAUUAGAGUUUUGAUUUUGAAAUUUUAUUUUUACAUUUUGAUCAACCAGGUAAAUAGUGAAAGAAAUCUGUAUAGGAAAUUUUUAAUCUAACAGGGAAAAUGAUAUCAUUAAUGUUGUUUGAAUAAUAUUAAUUUUUUGUAAUUACUAUUAAAAUCUGUAUAAACUCUAUUUUCUACUGUGCUAUUAAGUUUUUUCAUCUAAUUGCUACAGGUGCUAUUGAGGUGUUGAAGACAAAUGAGUUUUAAAUGUUUGCAGACAGGGGCGGAUCUAUGUUGUGGGAUUUGGAGGCUCUUGCCCCCACAAGAAUAAUAACCAUAAAUAUUAAAUCAUGUAUAUUAAUUCAAUGUUUAAUUAUUAUUUUUAUCGAUUCAAAAUAAAAACUUACGGUUACUAAUUAAAAAACACAAUCUACUACUUAUUUGUUUUAAUUAUACUUUAUCACAUUCUUCUAUAGUCUUAUGGCCAUUUUAAAAAAAAGAAAGUAUUUUAACAUAACUUUUAAA